GAAAAAAAAAUUGGAAUUAUACAGAGAUUAGCGUGGCCCCUGUGCAAGGAUGACAUGCAAAAUUUGUGAAGCGUUCCAUGUUAAA
rnacentral:snRNA from 1 species